GUGAAACAUUUUUUCAUGCUUUUUGCUCAAUUUAAAAUUGGAUUAUCUUUUUAUGAUUGAUCUGUAUUUCUUUAUAUAUUCUGGAUAUAUAUCAUUUAUCAUGUAUGCAUCAUACAUAGUUUUUCCUAGUCUGUGGUUUGUCUUUUCAUUAUCUAAGUGCUGUCUUCAUAAGCUAAUUUUUAAAAAAUUUUGAUGAUUGCAUUCUACUUUUGUGAUUGAGGUGUAGUUAGACUCUUCGAGCUGACAUUUUAACUUGAGGAUUUUAAAUUAGUCUCAUCACACACACACACACACACACACACAAGUAUGCAGACACUCCUCACCCCAAGGUAACCUGUGUUGGUAGCUUGCUAUACAUCUUCCCACAUCUCUUUCCAUGCUCUUACAAACAUAUACAUAUGCACGAGAUUUUUUUUUUUUAAUUUUACUUAAAGGGUACCCCGCUAUGGACUCCAGAAACUAUUCUUUUCGUUUAACAUAAAUUGACCAACAGGUACAUGAAAAGACCUGUCAGAAUGACUAUUAUAAAAAAGACAAGAUAUAACAAGUGUUGGUGAGGAUGUGAAGCAAAGAUAAUCCUGCACACUGUUGGUGGGACUGUAAACUGGUGCACCACUAUUGAGGUGCCUCAAAAAAUUAAAAAUAGAACUACGAUUUGACUCUGUAAUUCCACUUCUGGCUAUUUACCUGAAGAAAAUGAAAACACUAACUCAAAAAAAUAUCUGCCCUUCCAUGCUCACUGUGGCAUUAUUCAUAAUAGCCAAGACAUGGAAGCAACCCAUGUGCAUUGACAGAUGAAUGGAUAAGGAAGAUGUGGUCAUAUCUAUGAUGGAAUAUAGCCAUGAAGAAGAAGUGAAAUCUCGCUAUUGACAACAACAUGGAUGGACUGUAAUGCUAAAAGAAUAAGGCAGAGAAAACAAAUAGUGUCUGAUUUCACCUAUAUAUAAAAUCUAAAAGGAAAACAAGGCUCAUAGAUGCAGAGAAGAGAUUGGUUGUUUCCAGAGUCUAGCUGCCUCAAACGAUGCUUGAAACAAGCACACCAGCAAGCCAAGGACAAUACUGAGCCUAUAGCUCUGUCUGGGAAGUCUGUUGCUGUUUUCCUGUGGGAUAAAUUCCAACGGCCUCAAGCCCUGUUUACCGUGCACCGUGCCAACGGGAUUUGGCUUACAUCAUUUGUGAAGGGGACACACGGAUAAAGAGCUAUGCCUCAGUGGAGCAGUGACCCAUAUCUCAGGCUGCAGCCUCCCCCCGCUCUGUGUGCCUGUGAAUGAGAACAAAGAUGGCAGGA
rnacentral:lncRNA from 1 species